rnacentral:sRNA from 1 species
AAAAAUAAAAUAAAAGAUAAAAAAAA